GCUCCCGUAGUCCAAUGGAUAGAACAGGGGACUUCUAAUCCCCAAAUGCAGGUCCGAUUCCUGCCGGGAGCA
rnacentral:tRNA from 1 species